rnacentral:rRNA from 1 species
CCUACGGGGGGCAGCAGUGGGGAAUAUUGCACAAUGGGGGAAACCCUGAUGCAGCGACGCCGCGUGAGUGAAGAAGUAUUUCGGUACGUAAAGCUCUAUCAGCAGGGAAGAAAAUGACGGUACCUGACUAAGAAGCCCCGGCUAACUACGUGCCAGCAGCCGCGGUAAUACGUAGGGGGCAAGCGUUAUCCGGAUGUACUGGGUGUAAAGGGAGCGUAGACGGCAGCGCAAGUCUGGAGUGAAAUCCCAUGGCUUAACCAUGGAACUGCUUUGGAAACUGUGCAGCUAGAGUGCAGGAGAGGUAAGCGGAAUUCCUAGUGUAGCGGUGAAAUGCGUAGAUAUUAGGAGGAACACCAGUGGCGAAGGCGGCUUACUGGACUGUAACUGACGUUGAGGCUCGAAAGCGUGGGGAGCAAACAGGAUUAGAUACCCGGGUAGUC